rfam:Otolemur garnettii contig001115, whole genome shotgun sequence.
GUCAGGUUCAGUGGUGAACACCUGAAGCCCUAGCAACUCAGAAAGCUAAGGCAAGAGGAUUGCUUGAACCCAGGAGUUCUAGGCUGUAGCGCAUUAUGCCAGUUUGGUGUCCACACUAGGUUUGGCAUCCACAUGGUGACAUCCUGGGAGCAGGAGACCAACAGUUUGCCUAAGGAGAAGUGAACUGGCCUGGGUCAGAAAUGUAGCAGGUCACAACCCAUGCUGAUUAGUAGUGGGAUCAUGCGUAUGAAUAGUCCCUGCACUCCAGCUUGGCCAAUAUAGUGAGACUCUGUCUCUA